rnacentral:lncRNA from 1 species
CGCAAUCUGUGUAAUUAGUUUUUUAAUCUAUUGUGGGGACACCCAAUUUAGGCUUGGUGCCCCAAAAAUCCACUCGCGAUCGUCCAGGAUUUCGAUCACGCACAGAUUGAUAUACAGAACAACUUAUACAGGUUUAUUCAUACAAGCUGAUUAUACUACUGUUAAAAGGUGAAAAGAUCCAAACUAAAAUAUCCUUAUUUGAAAUACAAGAAAAUCCAAAGUACUAAACUCCUAAACUUCUUCAACUACUAGAACUACAAUUAAUAAAUUCCAAAGAAUUUCAAAGAACUCCACAGGCAAAAGCUCGAGUGUAGACUAGCCUAGAAAAACUCGUCGUUGUCGUAGAUCUCGCUUCCUUCUGAUCUCCUUGUUAGCACGUUUCCUCUAUAUGUCAAAUUAUGCAAGGGAGAGUACUUUUGUAUUUAGCAAGACAUAUUAUAAAUAAUUAAAGGUGAAUAGAUAUGAAUAAAUAAACAAUAAUAAAGUAAAGGAAUAAUAAAAACCAUAAAUCAUCUUUAUCCUCAACAUUUUAAUUUUAAAACUACUUAUACUUCAGGAGUAGGAAUCACCCUAUUGACACAACUCCAGAAUCAGGAGUACGGCACAUUCGAAUGAUUUAAUUCACCUCUGCAGAGACUGUCCAGCUUUACCCACACGAUGCCCACAACUAGCUAGGCUGAGAACAACAGAGCCGUUCGAAGGUCCCACUUACUACUAGUUACUGCACAGUGGGGUCUUGGUUCAUCAUAGUGGUCAAACUCUUGCUAGGCCUAGGCAAGGUAUCUAUAUCGUCACACUUUCAUGAAUCCCACUGUUGUGAAACACUGCCGCCCAAACUUCUUACGCAAGUUCACCCCAAUACCGCUCAUAGAGCCACCCAACAGUCUUUCAUAUAGUGGGACAAUGUACUAGGCUAAGUUCAAUUACUUGAUUGUGUGGAUGGACGCAACUAUGUCAUUUCCAUGGUAUAAGGGGGUAAUUAUAAUCUGGUUAAACCACCCAAAACUUUCCAAACUCCCCACACCAAAAUCACAAACUUCAUCAUUCAUCAACAUUCAUAAUUUUCAACAUUCAUAAUCUCAAUUCAUAAAUGCCCAUUUUAACCGGAUUCCUAAGUUUGUAAAGUUGUUUGGAAUAGUAAAUCACAUAAAAUCAUAACCAAUGCUUCUUUUUAUAACCUCAUGCAAUAAUACUUGGAUGCAUUUAACAUCUACCCAUGAGACGUUAAAAGGGUAAGGUAUCAUGCAUAAAAUGAAGAUUAUAUUAAGUUUUCUAUAUGAUCAAAAUUUUAGCUAUGUCUUGCCUUGCGCCUUAAGAUUUCCCGCGGCUUUAGCAUAGCCAUCUGGGUCCACAUCAGCUCCUUGGAUGCUGAUAAAACUUGUUGUACGGUCUAACGUACGAAUACGAAAAAAUAGCAAAUAAAGCCUAUAAGCAAAUUGCUACAAAGAAACGAUAAAAACCAAGGAAUAAAUAAAAUUGGAGCAAGGCGAAGGAAAAAGGAAUGGUUCAAAAUAAAUUUUAGUUUGGAAAACAAAAGAGAGGUUUUGGUUUCUAAAGGUUGGAAUUGAGGAAAAGGAUAAAAUGGAUAGGUGGGGUUGAUUUGGUGGAUUUGGUUUUCUAGUCGGUGCUAGAAUGGAGUAGCACGACGGUUAGAUAUUUGGAGUGGUUAGCCGAUGCUAAGGUUGGUAGCAUAACAGCUAAAUAUCGGCUCGUCUAGUUGAUGCUACAGUUAAGUAGCACAACGGCUAGUGAGUUGGGAGAUUUGUGUGGAGCGGAAGAGUGUUACUCUGCAGUUGUGAGUGACAACAGAGUGGCUAGGGUCGCACAUAGCUCAAGGACUAGUGUGCGGCAUGCUUGUGGAGGUCGAGGGAGUAGUGAGGCUCCGACCACUGUACGCGUUGAGGCGUGGGGUGCGAAGAGCGACACUUCGACCUUAGGAUUAGGUUAUGCCGGGUUUUACGACCAACGGUUUGACGUCGGGGUUUGAGACCACGCGAACGUCUCCAUAGAAGGUGUAAAGUUUCCACGGCGGCUUUUUGGUGGCUAAGGAUUGUAAAAGAAUGGUUUAAAGAAAUUUGAAUUCAAAUAGAGUUUUUUUAAAAAUAGAUUAAAGAAAUAAAAUUUAAAAUGGUAUUUUAAAAGAAAUAAAGAAAAGGUAAUUAAAUAAAUAAAGAAAGGAUAUUUAAAGAUAUUUAAAGAUAAUUUAAUUUAAAAAUGGUUUUAAAUAAAAUAAGAAAUUUUAAAAUUAAAGGGAUUUAAGAUAAAUCAAAUAGGUUUAAAUUAAAAGGGUAUUUAAACAAAAUUUUAAAUAGGAAAUUUGGUAUCAAAAGGGAGGGAUUGAAAUUACAUGAAUUUAGAUCAAAGGUUCACUGGAAUUGGAUUUGUGGUUGGAGAGAUAUGGGUGCCUAAAGUUUGGAAUUUGAAAUAACUCAAAUAAAAGAAAAGGGAUUACUGUACAGUGGGGCUCGCUUGUCAUAUCUCUUCUACUUCUUCUUCUUCUCUGCUUCUUUGAUCCGAGAGAAGGGAGAGAAGAGGGCGAGCGGGGCGCCGGCUCUCCGGUGGUCGGGAGGUGGGAACGCCGGUAGGAGAUGGUGUUCCCGAGCAACGCGCACCCGGAGAGGGUGGUGGAAGGCGGAGGGAGAGAGAGGGAUGGCCGGAACGGCGGCAACAAGAGCUCAGUUCCGGCGAUAAGAGAAGGUGGUGGUGGCGGCUUAUCCCAAGGUGGAGGGAGAGGGGAAGGGGAAAAAUGGAAUCACCUGGGCGAGGCGGAGUUGGUGGCGCAAGGGUUUGGCUUGCGAAGCUUCGGUGAGGGAGAUCGGCCGACGGUAGUGAUGGCCGGACAUGGGAGUAGAGAGAGAAAAAG